GAUGGUUCAUUCAAAUUUCUGCCCUAUCAACUUUCGAUGGUAGAGUAGUGGUCUACCAUGGUUUCAACGGGUAACGGGGAAUUAGGGUUCUAUUCCGGAGAGGGAGCCUGAGAAACGGUACCACAUCCAAGGAAGGCAGCAGGCGCGCAAAUUACCCAAUCCCGACACGGGGAGGUAGUGACAAUAAAUACUGAUACAGGGCUCUUUUGGGUCUUGUAAUCUGGAAUGAGCACAAUUUAAAUCCCUUAACGAGGAACAAUUUGGAGGGCAAGUCUGGUGCCAGCAGCCGCGGUAAUUCCAGCUCCAAUAGCGUAUAUUAAAGUUGUUGCAGUUAAAAAGCUCGUAGUUGAACCUUGGGCCUGGCUGGCCGGUCCGCCUCACCGCGUGCACUGGUCCGGCCGGGCCUUUCCUUCUGGGGAGCCGCAUGCCCUUCACUGGGUGUGUCGGGGAACCAGGACUUUUACUUUGAAACAAUUAGAGUGUUCAAAGCAGGCCUAUGCUCGAAUACAUUAGCAUGGAUUAUAGA
rnacentral:rRNA from 1 species